GAGCAAAGCUCUAAAGCACAGGGCUGGGCCGAGGGGGAAGGGGCUGGCUGGAAGAGGGAUCUGUCUGUCUUCAGCGUGUAGUAGACUGUGCUCGGCUGUGUGUGCUCAUGUCCAUGGUGUGUUCUGUGAAUCUGUCACGUUGGAGGGAAGACAUUCUGAUGAUUGAGACACACGGACACUCCAGAGCAAGCCAGCAAGUUGGA
rnacentral:lncRNA from 1 species